rnacentral:rRNA from 1 species
GAUGAACGCUGGCGGCGUGCCUAAUACAUGCAAGUCGAGCGAACAGACGAGGAGCUUGCUCCUUUGACGUUAGCGGCGGACGGGUGAGUAACACGUGGGUAACCUACCUAUAAGACUGGGAUAACUUCGGGAAACCGGAGCUAAUACCGGAUAAUAUUUCGAACCGCAUGGUUCGAUAGUGAAAGAUGGCUUUGCUAUCACUUAUAGAUGGACCUGCGCCGUAUUAGCUAGUUGGUAAGGUAACGGCUUACCAAGGCAACGAUACGUAGCCGACCUGAGAGGGUGAUCGGCCACACUGGAACUGAGACACGGUCCAGACUCCUACGGGAGGCAGCAGUAGGGAAUCUUCCGCAAAGGGCGAAAGCCUGACGGAGCAACGCCGCGUGAGUGAUGAAGGUCUUCGGAUCGUAAAACUCUGUUAUUAGGGAAGAACAAACGUGUAAGUAACUAUGCACGUCUUGACGGUACCUAAUCAGAAAGCCACGGCUAACUACGUG